GGGGUAUCUGUUAUUUUUUUUUAGAUUUUCACUGGGUUUUUUUAGUUGGAAUAUAUGUUGCUGUAUAUGUUUUGGAGCAACAAACAGUCCAACAUUCAUAGGUUAUUUCUUUCAGAUCUCAUUUUCACAGCUAUUUUGAGUCUUUUCUUAUCCAUUAAAUUUUGUGUAUUCUCAACUUUUUAAUCACGAACCAAAGAUUUUU
rnacentral:lncRNA from 1 species